AACCGUGAAGGGUCCAAGAUUUUACCUGUCUGCGUGCUAACAGAUAAGAAUGCAAUCGUCUUCUGGAUGCUGGGAGAAGACACUCGACUCCUAGUUUAGAGAUCGAAGACCUGAUUAUACACAGCAGAAGAAAAAGCUGCCGAAGUUUCCGGGUGGCCACAUCAGUUCUCUGUAUUCCAGUUACCACGUGGGCAAUAUAUGUGUGUCAGGAUGCAGUCCUGCCGUGGGUUGCAUUUCAGGAGAGUAACAUGAGGUAGUCUUUGACCACUAGUUUGGUACCAUCUCCAUUUUGGGUGACAUGUUUCAUCAGCAGGCCUGUUACUCUCCGUGACUAACUGUAAUUCAUACAUUGAAGACCUAAGCCCCCAGUGCUGUGAUAUUAGAAGAUGGGGCAUUUGGGAGGAAGUUAUGUUUAGAUGAGCUCAUGAGGAGUGGUAUCCCAUGAUGGGAUUAGUGUCCUUACGAGAAGAGGAAGAGACCAGAGCACUCUCUCUCUCUCUUGCCAUAUGCACGCAAACAAGAGUCUUGCAAGGACACAGUGAGCUGAUGGUGAUCCACAAGCCAGGAAGAGAGCCCAUGGCCCAGAACAGAAUCUUUGGCACCUUGACCUUGGACUUCCCAGCCUCAGAACUGUGUGAAAUAAAUGGUAUUUUCUGUAGCAGCCUGAGCUAAUGCAGCAUCUAUCUUUCCCAAAAGUCAAAAAGAAGUACCUUGAUCAACAAGAUGUGUUUUUAAAUGAAAGACCAAAAUGACUGACAAGGAUUAUUUUAUUUUCAU